AGAAGAAGGCAAUCUAGCUACAACAUCUGACACCCCACUAAUCACUAGGGUGACUCAGCUCCUCUGGCUAACUAGAAAGAGUUACCCUUUCUCCCUCAUCAUUCUCUGCAGUGCCUCCCAAAGGUACAAGACUGUUCUUCCAUCAAGAGUAUAUGAGCAGUUAUGUUCCCUUGUUAGAACCUCCACACAAGCUCUCUCAACAAGUAAUUGGUUGUGUGUACUCGAUCAGUCUGAAUCUAUGUCAGCUGUGUGGCAGAUUCU
ensembl:misc_RNA 7SK 7SK RNA